CGAGGAGGCCAAGGCAGGCGGAUCCGCAGGGCCGACCUGGACGCAAGGCGGGCGGACGGAGUUGCCUCCAACCCCAGCUCACGCCCCCACCCCCAACUUUCCCCGGGCGAGCGCGCGCUCGGGUCGGGAGCGGGGACGCGGUGCGCGUCGGAGCGAGCGCGCUAGUCCCCGGCGCGCCCGCCACUCUCGCCCGGCAGCGGCUCCCUUCCCCGCGCCGCCUGCGCUCGGGACCAGCCCGAGUGGCCCGCGCGCCGAACUCCCUCCACCGCGUCGCCUCCGGACGCCGCCCGGACCGCGGGGCCACCCCGGGAAGGAGGAUCCCGCGGACGGCUGCAGCCCGAGGUAAUCGCCAGAUGACGGACGGGGCCGGUCCUCGCGCAGACACCCGACCCGGGCGACUUGCGAUGCGGACUCCGGAGGUGGCACCGUCGGUCCGAACAAGUUUCUCGAGGCUUUGAAAUGAUAUGGUUGAAAAUGACAUUUUAUUUAGCCAUCUUUUGUCUUCUGUUUUAAUUAAGUUUAUUUAGACCAAGAGUCAAGCUGUGCCUUAGCUGCCCUUCGGUGCUGAAGACCAAUUCACAAUAACUCACAACUCUCCUGACACCCACUCCUCGAGUGACCUUCGGGCCUUUUCGGAGGGUUGCUUUGCCAUCUUUGCAGAUAUUCAUGAGGAUAUCUGGGAGACUCCAAGAGUUCACAUGAUAAUGUUCUUGAUCUGGACAGGAGAACAAGGAACACUGAGAUGAAGAUCAGUCUCUGUUGUCUAAUGACAUGUAUAUCUGGUGACCUUGCCAGGCAGUCACUACAAUUUCUUAUAUACCCCCAAACACAGCAGCUGCUCUCGUACUCUUCCUUCACCAGGUGGAAUCAAAUAGAGCUGGGAGGCCAUUAAGGAGAUGGACAUUAUGUAUGUCUUCACCAGUUGGAACCAGGAACUUCUGAACUGGGCCAAGUCACAAAAAUUCCAAGGAUCCUAUAAGAACACGUGCAGCUUGCUCUGGUAAGAGACUUUUGCUUAAUGUUAGCCUUAGGAACCGAUUAUGUUCAGCCAAGAUUAGCUCUGAGACACCAUUACCAAUCAAAAGUCUUUGUAAGCAACGUCUAUAAAAGGUUCCUUAUUUGUUUUAAAACUUCUGACUUCUGUUCCCUGGUGGCAUACUGAUCAUUUUGCUGCCCAAAUCUUCCCAAAAUUGCAAUUCUUUGAUCUUGAAUAAACAUUUUUGCUCAA